AUGAUAAGUUGGGAAGGUAGGAUACAAUAUAAAGUUAUUACAUUUAUAUCGGUAAGCAACGAUAAACCAUUGCUUGACGAAUCCUAGCGCAGUUCAGUUCAGUUCUCUUAUUAUCCCGAAUAUUAAUGAGAAUUUACUUAACAAAAUUUUCAAAAUAGCUAUUUUGUAAAGGAUAUUAUUCUAAAAAUUUUAAUGUACCAUACGUUCAUAUACGAUCAAUAGUUUCUUAGUAAUAGCCGUUUUAAUUAGGCGUGGAAACAAUUAAUAUUCAAUAAAAUAACACGUUAUGCGAUAAAGAACUGUAAUCAGC